CAGUUUCCAGUACCUCAAGUGAAAGCUCUGGCACAAGUCUGCACACAGCUAUAACUUCCUCAGGCCCUGCUUUCACAAUUUCAUCCAGCACAUUGGAUUCUACAACAUUUAGUGGUCCAGGUGUCUCAUUGGAUUCUACAACAUCUAGUGGCCCAAGUGUCUCAGGCCCUGCUUUCACAAUCUCAUCCAGCACUUUGGAUUCUACGACAUUUAGUGAUCCAGGUGUCUCAUUUGAUUCUACAUCUAGUGUCCCAAGUGUCUCAGAUUCAUUUUAUACAACUCAAGCUACUUCACCUGGCAUCUCAGCAACAUCUUCAAAAACAAGUCCCUAUGUGUCAGGUAAAUU